UUGUUUUUUUUUUUAAAAUAAAGUAGACUGUUAAGCCAUUUUAUUGACCCAAUAAAAAAAAUCAAAUCUGCACAAACAACCCAUUAUCAAGUCUUGGUCCAAAGCCUUAACACGAUUAUGAUCCAAAAAUAAAAUAAAAAGAAAAAUGAAAAGACGACUACACUACUACUCAAAUCUUCUUCAGCUCCAUAUGUUCUUCACUGUUGAAGCUCUCAUCCAUGGCCGUUAAAAGAGAAGGUAGACAAUCUCACCUCAAAACGAGUGAUUCAACACCAUAAAAAAGUAGAGUCUUGAUUGUAUUUAUUUGGGCAUUUUCAAGUCUCACAAAUGCCAUAAAUCAAACAAGAGGAAGACUUCUUCAACUCUCUUUUUCAUGGAUCUAGUUAAUCUCGCUUAAGAUAAGUAUUUCCACCUAUUUCAUUUAUGUACUCAUCCGAUUAAACAAAUGAUUUCCCCAAAUCUUUUCUUUCUUGACAGAUUGCGCUUAAAUAUGAGUUAAUACCACUGUCUACGCAAUCAAAGAUUUUAGAUCCAUCAUUACCUGACCAAUAUCAUAUUCGAGUUCUAGCCUUCUCUUAUGACCUUUUUGAUGUUCAUGGAAGCUGCUAUUGUUGUAAAGACCUUUAACAUGACAUUGACCAAUCUUGUUUCUAUUGAUGUUGCAUGUAACAGGUAAAACAGGUCUAUAAUAGCGUUGAGAUGAAAAUGAAAAAAAAGACCUAGAAAGAAAAAGUCUGAUCAAGAUACGAGUUACCUCAUGAGUUGUCAACACACCAUACGACUCGUAGUAUGACUUGUAAGCACAACAGAACCAAAGACUAAAACAAAAUACUAAGUGAAGAAAAGAUAUGACUCAACCAUACGAGUUGUAAGAUGAAGGUAUGAGUUAUGACAAUGAAUUGUAAGCAUAACAGAAGCUACAGUUACCAUCCAAACUUGAAAGUCUCAGAAGUAUAUGAGUCGCAAGUCUGAGUAGGAUUCAUAUAGGGAAACUGCAAGCAAACCAGUGUUCAAAGCUAUAAAGGAACAUGUCCCAGGUGGAUACAAUUGAAGAACAAGAGUCGUAUAAUCAAGGUACAACUCUUGAGCAAGAGUCAUAUGAGGAUUGCACACUUUGAUAUUCUUUUACAUGCUUUUACAUUAUUUUCGUCAUUAAAACUUUGUUCUUGAGAUCUUUGGGUUAUUAUUUAAUAGCAAAUUUCAGAUUUUAUUCUUCUCA